GGCUUCAGUUACUAGCUAAGCUAAUGAGUUUAGUUCUCAGUUUGGCACCUUGAUACCUUUAGGUGUGAGUGUUCCUAUUUCCAGGUGAGGAACUGAGGUGCAAUGAGAAGCCCUGAUCCCAUAAAAGGACAGGAAUGCUGAAUUCCGCCAGACCAUGCAUCUCUUGCUAGUAGGUGAGGCGAGUCUCUAACUGAUUGCAGCGUCUUCUAUUUUCCAGGUCAAGUACUUGCUGCUGUCAAUAUUGGGGCUUGCCUUUCUGAGUGAGGCAGCAGCUCGGAAAAUCCCCAAAGUAGGACACGCUUUUUUCCAAAAGCCUGAGAGUUGCCCGCCUGUGCCAGGAGGUAGUAUGAAGCUUGACAUUGGCAUCAUCAACGAAAACCAGCGUGUUUCCAUGUCACGUAACAUCGAGAGCCGCUCCACCUCCCCCUGGAAUUACACUGUCACUUGGGACCCCAACCGGUACCCCUCAGAAGUUGUACAGGCCCAAUGUAGGAACUUGGGCUGCAUCAAUGCUCAAGGAAAGGAAGACAUCUCCAUGAAUUCCGUUCCCAUCCAGCAAGAGACCCUGGUCGUCCGGAGGAAGCACCAAGGCUGCUCUGUUUCUUUCCAGUUGGAGAAGGUGCUGGUGACUGUUGGCUGCACCUGCGUCACCCCUGUAAUCCACCAUGUGCAGUAAGAGGUGCACAUCUACUCAGCUGAAGAAGCUGUAGAAAUGCCACUCCUUACCCAGUGCUCUGCAACAAGUCUUGUCUGACCCCCAAUUCCCUCCACUUCACAGGACUCUUAAUAAGACCUGCAUGGAUAGAAACAGAAAAUAUUCACAAUGUAUGUGUGUAUGUACUACACUUUAUAUUUGAUAUCUAAAAUGUUAGGAGAAAAAUUAAUAUAUUCAGUGCUAAUAUAAUAAAGUAUUAAUAAUUUAAAAA
rnacentral:sRNA from 1 species